CGUAGGGUGCGUAGCGUUAAUCGGAAUUACUGGGCGUAAAGCGUGCGCUAGGCGGUUUUGUAAGACAGAUGUGAAAUCCCCGGGCUCAACCUGGGACCUGCAUUUGUGACUGCAAGGCUAGAGUACGGUAGAGGGGGAUGGAAUUCCGCGUGUAGCAGUGAAAUGCGUAGAUAUGCGGAGGAACACCGAUGGCGAAGGCAAUCCCCUGGACCUGUACUGACGCUCAUGCACGAAAGCGUGGGGAGCAAACAGGAUUAAAUACCCUGGUAGUCCACGCCCUAACGAUGUCAACUGGUUGUUGGGUCUUUACUGACUCAGUAACGAAGCUAACGCGUGAAGUUGACCGCCUGGGGAGUACGGCCGCAAGGUUG
rnacentral:rRNA from 1 species